rnacentral:rRNA from 1 species
GAACAUUGACAAUUCGAACGCACAUUGCGGCCCUAG